UGAAUACGAGAUGCUACGGCGUCGAAGCAGUCUAUGUCAUACUUCCAAGAAAAGCUUGCACUGUCAUAAACAAAUAAUGCCUGUACCAUAACCGACACAGGUGGGUAGGUAGAGUAUACUAAGGGGCGCGAGAUAACUCUCUCUAAGGAACUCGGCAAAAUGACUCCGUAACUUCGGGAGAAGGAGUGCCUUAUUUAUAAGGUUGCAAUAACAAGAUCCAAGCAACUGUUUACCAAAAACACAGGUCUCCGCUAAGUCGUAAGACGAUGUAUGGGGGCUGACGCCUGCCCAGUGCCAGAAGGUUAAAGAAGUUGGUUAGCAUCCGCGAAGCUGAUAACUGAAGCCCUGGUGAACGGCGGCCGUAACUAUAACGGUCCUAAGGUAGCGAAAUUCCUUGUCGGGUAAGUUCCGGCCCGCACGAAAGGCGUAAUGAUUUGGAUACUGUCUCGGAGAGGGGCUCGGUGAAAUAGACUUGUCUGUGAAGAUGCGGACUACCUGCACCAGGACAGAAAGACCCUAUGAAGCUUUACUGUAACCUGAAAUUGAAAUUGGACUUUACUUGCGCAGUAUAGGUGGGAGGCGUUGAGAAUAUUCUUGCGGGAUUAUUGGAGCCAUCAGUGAGAUACCACUCUUGUAAUGUUAGAUUUCUAACUUUGUAUCAUUAUCUGGUCAAAGAACAGUUUCAGGCGGGCAGUUUGACUGGGGCGGUCGCCUCCUAAACGGUAACGGAGGCGCACAAAGGUUUCCCCUGAACGGGUAGAAAUCGUAUCUAGAGUGUAAAGGCAUAAGGAAGCUUGACUGUGAGACCUACAAGUCGAGCAGGGACGAAAGUCGGUCUUAGUGAUCUGACGGUGCUGAGUGGAAAGGCCGUCACUCAACGGAUAAAAGUUACUCUAAGGAUAACAGGCUGAUCUCCCCCAAGAGUUCACAUCGACGGGGAGGUUUGGCACCUCGAUGUCGGCUCAUCGCAUCCUGGGGCGGUAGUACGUCCCAAGGGUUGGGCUGUUCGCCCAUGAAAGCGGUACGCGAGCUGGGUUCAGAACGUCGUGAGACAGUUCGGUCCAUAUCCGGUGUAGGCGUUAGAAUAUUGAGAGGAGCCUUCUUUAGUACGAGAGGACCGAGAAGGACAUACCUCUGGUGUACCAUUUAUCGUGCCAACGGUAAACGCUGGGUAGCUAUGUGUGGAGUGGAUAACCGCUGAAAGCAUCUAAGUGGGAAGCCCACCUCAAGAUAAGUAUUCUC
rnacentral:rRNA from 1 species